rnacentral:rRNA from 1 species
AAGGUAGCAUAAUCAUUUGCCCCUUAAUUAGGGGCUGGAAUGAAUGGGUAAACUAAAUUUUUCUGUCUCCUAGAAAACAAUAAAAAUUUACCUAUUAGUGAAGAGGCUAAUAUUUCUAUAAAAGACAAGAAGACCCUAUAGAGCUUCCCGUACCCUUUAAAAAAAAAGAUUACCGGUUUUGUUGGGGCGACAAGGGAAAAAGAAAAACUUCCCUCAAUCCAAGGCUGAUAAGCCUUUAACAUUACCCUUUAAAAAGGAUAAAAAAAAGCUACCUUAGGGAUAACAGGCUAAUUCUUCUUAAGAGCUCUUAUCGACAGAAGAGAUUGGCACCUCGAUGUUGGCUUAAGGUACCUAUUUAGCGCAGAAGUUAAAUAAGGUGGUUUGUUCAACCAUUAAAUCCUU